rnacentral:rRNA from 1 species
UACGUGAGGGGGCUAGCGUUGUCCGGAAUCAUUGGGCGUAAAGCGCGUGUAGGCGGCCCGGUAAGUCCGCUGUGAAAGUCGGGGGCUCAACCCUCGGAUGCCGGUGGAUACUGUCGGGCUUGAGUACGGAAGAGGCGAGUGGAAUUCCUGGUGUAGCGGUGAAAUGCGCAGAUAUCAGGAGGAACACCGAUUGCGAAGGCAGCUCGCUGGGACGUUACUGACGCUGAGACGCGAAAGCGUGGGGAGCAAACAGG